rnacentral:rRNA from 1 species
CAGCAGCCGCGGUAAUACGAAGGGUGCAAGCGUUAAUCGGAAUUACUGGGCGUAAAGCGUGCGUAGGCGGUGAGUUAAGUCUGCUGUGAAAUCCCCGGGCUCAACCUGGGAAUGGCAGUGGAUACUGGCUCGCUAGAGUGUGUCAGAGGAUGGUGGAAUUCCCGGUGUAGCGGUGAAAUGCGUAGAGAUCGGGAGGAACAUCAGUGGCGAAGGCGGCCAUCUGGGACAACACUGACGCUGAGGCACGAAAGCGUGGGGAGCAAGCAGGAUUAGAUACCCCAGUAGUCCCUGUCUCUUAUAC